GACGAACGCUGGCGGCGUGCUUAAUACAUGCAAGUAGAACGGAGUCGGGAACGGGUGAGAAACGCGUAGGUCACUGGCGGGGAGCGGGUGAUAACAAUUGGAACCGAUAGCGAAUACCGCAUACUACCAGAUGGACCUGCGUUGUAUUAGCUAGUUGGUGAGGUAACGGCUCACCAAGGCAACGAUACAUAGCCGGGCGGGGAGGGUGAUCGGACACACUGGGAAUGAGACACGGACCAGACUUCGACGGGAGGCAGCAGUAGGGAAUCUUCGGCAAUGGGGGGAACCCUGACCGAGCAACGCCGAGUGAGUGAAGAAGGUCUUCGGAUCGUAAAGGUCUGUUGUUACGGAAGCGGUACUUAACCAGAAAGGGACGGCUAACUACGUGCCAGCAGCCGCGGUAAUAC
rnacentral:rRNA from 1 species